AGAGACAGCAGCAGCCGCGGGAAUACAGAGGGUGCGAGCGUUAAUCGGAUUUACUGGGCGUAAAGCCUGCGUAGGCGGCUUCUUAAGUCGGAUGUGAAAUCCCUGAGCUUAACUUAGGAAUUGCAUUCGAUACUGGGAAGCUAGAGUAUGGGAGAGGAUGGUAGAAUUCCAGGUGUAGCGGUGAAAUGCGUAGAGAUCUGGAGGAAUACCGAUGGCGAAGGCAGCCAUCUGGCCUAAUACUGACGCUGAGGUACGAAAGCAUGGGGAGCAAACAGGAUUAGAUACCCCAGUAGUCCCUGUCUCUUAUAC
rnacentral:rRNA from 1 species